GGGGGUGACCCAGUGAGGAAGGGGGUGACCCAGUGAGGAAGGGGGUGACACAGUGACAGAGUGAGGGAGGGGGUGACUAGUGACAGAGUGAAGGAGGUGGUGACUGUCACUAGUCACCCCAUCCUUCCCUCUGUCACUAAUCACCACCUCCCUCACUCUGUCACUAGUCACCCCUUCCCUCCCUCACUCUGUCACUAGUCACACCCUCUCUUUCUCUGUCACUAGUCACACCCUCUCUCUCUGUCACUAGUCACACCCUUCCUCACUGUCACUAGUCACACCCUCCCUCACUCUGUCACUAGAGU